CUAAUUUCUUUAUUUGCAAAAUGUCCCACUAGUCCUGCCUGGAUCCACUUUCAAGUGGACCUCAGAUUAAUUUUCUCUUUUAUCCUCACAUCUGUCUAGGAAUGGCUUGGCUAGGAGGAAGGGUGAAGGCUCUGCUCUCAGAACAUGGUCAGCUCACUGUGGUGGGGAAAGAGCACUGGAAUGGGAGUCAGACAGCACUGGUUUCUCCUCUGACUGGUUCCAAGGUCUCAGGCUACUGACUUUAUUGCUCUGAGCCUCAGUUUCCCUGUCUAUGAAAUGGAGAUGCUACCUAGCACAGGGCUGUUAUGAGGGGCUGAAUAAGGCUUUGGCAGCAAUUUGGAAACUGGAAGAGGGGAGACAGGUGCCAGGUGUUACAGGCAGUGUUAGGAGAUAUUUGAGGGGGAAAUGAUUAAGUAAUAGAAAUGGGAAGGCAGGGGAGUGUAGGGAAGUUGUUAAGCACUUCCUAGCUGUUUCUAGCUCUAUUACUUGAAAGUGGCCUCACCUGUCUGUGCCUCAAUUUCCUCAUCUUGAAAUCCAGGUCCCACAGGUCCUCCUGAUACCUCACACGGGGCACCGAAGUACACAUAGAACUGGUUAGAGAAGGAGAGGCCAUCCAGGUGGAGGGGACGGCAUGAGCAAAGGCUUGGAGUUAGGAAUUAUUGCGGCGUGGAUGAGAAACACUGGUCUCACAUGUUUUGUUUCAUGGCGACAAUAGUAAUACUUCUCUAUCAUGAUGAGAAUUAAGCGAGAUAAUGCGGAUAGAGCACUUAGCACAGACUGGCACGUGGCAAACUCAGUAAUGGUCCUUGUCCUUUCAGCCGUUGUUUUAUUUUACAGAUAAAGAAAACGGAGCCUCUGAGAGGUGAUGUGGCUGGCCCAGUCACAUAGCUAUCAGAGAUGGAGUAGGAUUUGAACCCACAUCUUGACUCUAGAGGCCAGGCUCUGAAGAGGCCAGGCUCUGAACAACCGUACAGUCACCCCGUUAUGGGGCCUCUGCUCCAGACCUCGGCUGCCUGCCUGACUCAGCAACUGUGGGUGGCCUCGCUUCUGUGCGUAGGCAGGAGAGCCAGCGAGAAGGCUCCCCGUUUCUUGGAAACCAAAUAUGGCCAGACCAGGCCCUCCAAGCUGACCCCUGAGCUGGGCUUGCUUCUGCCUGCUCAUCUGUGCUGUGGGGCCCUCCCCACUGUGUAACCUCCUGGCUCUGCCCUGGAGAUGCUGGGAGAGCCUCCAUUCAGACCCCUCUCCUAAUAGGAGCUUGUUGAGCAAGUUACUGAAAGAGAACAUGUGAGAUCAGUGUCUCAUCCAUGUCACAAUAACCAGCUCUUAUGCAUCCUUCAGUGCCCAGUGUGAGGUAUCAGGAAAAAUUACUUCCUGACUGGGUGACUUGGAGUAAGUCACUCAUCUCAUCCGUCCUUCCUUGCUUCCUCCCUCCCUCCCUCUCUUCCUUGCGUUCUCCCUUCCUUCCUCCCUCCCUCCCUUUGUGUCUCCCUCCCUCCCUUCCUUCCUCCAUUCCUCCUUUCCUUCCUUCCAUCCAUCAUCCAUCAUUCAUCCAUCCAUCCAGUGGGCACCUACAUGUGCCAGGCACUUUACAUACAGUCUCUCCUUCCAGGCUAGAAGCCCCUUGAGGAUUGCAAACCAGGUGCCAGAAGAUAACUGUUCAACCAAUAUCCAUGGGCGAAGGCUUGCCUUCACUACAGGCUCUUAUCAUUAACACCCCCAUUUCACAGUUGGGAAGACUGACACUCAGAGAGGAGAAGUCUAAAGGACACACAGCAGAGAUGAGUGAAGCCAAGACUUGACCCCUGAUCUAUCAGGCUCUGGAGGCCAAGUUCUUAACCACUGGUCAGUACUGCCCAGCUCCUAAUGGAGUGAGGGACCAUGGUGAGGGUCAGGUUCUGGGGCAAGGCUGGGACCACUUCUCUUUCAGUCCUUGGUUCCCAUGUAGUCCCCUUAACCCACAGCCUUUUGAGUUCUAAGGCAGCUGUCCCUCACUCCCUUCCCUACUCCAGCCCCUCCGCAGUCAGAGCUGGUCUGACACUUGCCAGGCUGGCUGGAAGAGGAUGAAUUCUUCCCCUUGCCUCCCCUGACUGGGCUUUGAGAGUGCCUGUCCCAUCUCAGAGCCUACAAAGUCCUUUUCAAGGUCACUGGCAUCCUCACCUCAGCUCUUUGGGGGAGGCAGGGCAGGGAGAGUCUUCCCCACGGUUUAGAUAGGGGAACUGAGGCCCCAGCAUCAGUUAUAAGCCACAUCAAGGAGUGCCCAGCUAGGCCUGGAAUCUCUUGCUUUAAGGAACUGAGCAUGGAAUUGGCUGCUAAAUCUUUCCUGAAGCCAUGGUAUGAGGUGCUUAGAGUCCGACAGAUCCCAGUUCUGCCAUUCACCAGCUGUGCAGCCUUGGGGGAGUCAGGUCACCUCUCUGAACCUGAGUGUUCUCUGAAAAAUGGGGACAGUGCUAAUAUCGAUUUGAGAGAUGUUAGGCGGAUGAAAUGAAAUAAUGCUUGUGAAGCACUUAGCACAGUGCCUGGAACACAGUGGGUGCUCAGACAAUGAGGUUAUUAUUAAGCUAGAACAUCAGAUCCAGAGAGUUAUCCCGGCCAAGGGUAAUGGUAUAUAACAUUCCUUUAUCACUGCAAUGUGCCAGGCAUGUUCAUCAGGGCAACAUAUCUAUAAUUCAGUGCCAUUUUACAGAUGAGGUCACUGGGGCUCAGAGAGAGAAAGUGACUUGUCCUAACUCUCUGUCCAGAAGGAGGAAGAUUCUGGGCUUGGACUCAAAGGUCUGUGUCCAUAACCUCAGCUCUGCUCCACUGGGCUGGAUUCUCUAACCCCAUCACGCUAAGGCCCAGAGAGGGAAAGGAAGUUCUGUGGGGCCCCAUAGCAGACCACGUUGGGGAGGCCUUUUCCAUCCUAGCAGCUCCGCAUGGGUCCGGGUAAUUCUCCAGCCCUAGGAUUAAAGCAGGGCCUGAUGGACACAUUCACAGUCCUUGGAAAGGUCCCGAAAUCUGGUCUACGGUCUCAAGCUGGCCAGCAGAUCCCAUCUUCCCCAGACACUCCUCAGCCCCCACUCCACCCUGUGACCACUCCUUCCCCACCCACAGCUUUCUGCAUGGGCCCCCCACCUUUUAAAGAAAUCAGUGGAACCUUCUGCCAAAGAAAACUCGUUGAUGCCCGCGAACCAGCCAGCUGGGGAGGAGGCUGCCCUGGAAUGUCAGAGGGGGGUCACCAAGCUGUUUGUGAGCAGGCCAGCAGAGAAAUGUGAGCAGCUCCCUUUUUUGGGGAAAGUCAGAACUCGUUCCAUGGGAAAGGAUCCAGGGCAGGCCAGCUCAGAGGCUCGGGCCUCAGUUUCCCUAUAAUCACCACCAUGGCCUUCAUGGGGUAAGAAUAACAUCAGUUAUUGAUUCAACAACUAUUGGUUAAGUGCCUGUGUACCAGGCACUAGCUGGCUGCUUGGGACAGAGUGUGUCAUCGGGGGCCGACUUCCCAGCAGGAGGCAGUCUCUCAGCAACUCUGAUGAGUUAGAGGCAAGCACCCCAGGCCCACAACCCCUAAUCAACACUCUUGUAGCUUGGCAGGUUUCAGAAUUCGGGAUUUUGGGGAGUUUUAAAAGGUAAUCUGUUGGGGUCUGGGCCCCCCCCCCCCGGCCCCAUCUCCAAUCAAACAUGUGACUAUUGCUCUAUCGAGAAGCGUGAGUAUUGACUUUAAGUGGGGUAGACAAAGAUUCUGCACAGCCUCAGUCCUUUCAGGUCAGAUUUUCCCCAAAAUGAGUUUUCUUCCAAUAUACGGAAAAGCCCUUGGUUGUCUGGGCUUUCUGGGCUGUGGAACUGAAGAUAAAGGAUUGAGGAGCUGAUUCCUCUGCCCAUUGUACAGAUGAGAAAACUGAGACUCAGGGCAGGGGAGUCACCUACCCAAGGCCCUGGAGCAAGCAAAUGCUGCAGGUGGGUGGGAACACAGGUCUCGGUGACUCCAGAUUCAGAGCUUGUCACCACCAGGGAUCCCGCCUGGGAGAGAAGCACAGGCUGAGUGGAGAAGGUUCCUUGGCCAAACCUCAGCGGCCCACCAGCCAGUUCCGCCAGGAAGGAGUUAAGCUCAAGCUGGGCCUCCGCCAGGCCUCUGCACCACGGCUCCUUGCCGGGCCUGCCUGUCUGGGGCCUGUUUACCAGGCUGCGCUUGCAUCACCGGCUUCGACGUGCAGUGCAAACACACUCACAUUCUUGGGUCAUGAGAAAUGCACAAUUGCGGUGACAUCAUGCCCAGAGAGGAGGUUUUCGCCAGCCUCCCUCCUGCCCACAGUCAAAGCUGUUUAAUUAGCACCCUUAACUGGAACACUUGUCUUCUUGUAAAAACCAACUGGAGAAACUCUUAUGGGUGGGGGUGAUGGGGGUUGGAGUGUGUGUGUGUAUGUGUGUUUUAAGGGAUAAAAAUAGCUCAUCUGGGACUCCUUUUGGGGUAUUUGUGAGUAUUAAUGUACAACUGUUUAUAUGAAAUCUAUGUCACACUGGACAUUUUCGUCUGAAUUUGGCUUGGAGAUGGGAUGAGAGAAACCACCCAUGUCUUUUUGUUCCCUCUAGUUUUUCCUUUUGGGAGGAGACACGUAGGCCAAGUAAGAGGGCCCUUAGAGACGAUUUAGACCAACCCUUCAUUAUACAGCCAAGGAAAGGGAGGCCCAGAGAGGGGAGAGCCUUGCCUGAGGUCACACAGCGAGGCUCUGAGUUCCACACCCCUCACUUGCAUUUGGCAGCAUUGUCCUCAGUGCUCACUUCUGCUUUGUGAGUUGGUUUUUCAGGGUGUUAGAAAGAGAGAUGCUUCUGACCAGAGCUUCCUGGCUGUGUUUUGAGAUCAGAGUGGAGGUGAUGGCAAUGGUGGUGGUGGUGGUGGUGGGUGUGGAGUUGGGGUGGGAACAGAGAAGAGUGAUUGGGACCACAGGAGACCUCAACCUCACUGUCCCCCACCAAAAAGAACCUACCAUAGGCUUUGAAACAUCUGUUCCUCCCCCAGACAACCCCAGGGGUCCUUUACCUCCCCCUUCUCAAGAAGUCCCACACCCUCACUGGCCUCCUUCCAUGAUUAUUGAAGACUGAUUUCCCACUGAGAGGGGCUAGAUUUUUAGCAAAUGAAGAUAGAAGACACCCAGUUAAAUCUGACAUUCAGAUAAACAAUAAAUAAUGUUUUAGUAUAAAUAUGUCCCACGCAAUACGGGGACAUGGAGUUAUCUGGCAGCGCUGUUCUUCAUCUUUAUCAUCAUCCUUGUGGCGGACACUCUCAACUAUCUCCUCAACCUUCCUUCUCCUUCCUCAUUAACCGCACUCUGCUUUUUGUCUGGGGUGGCAUUGUGUCCCAGGGGAUGAGUCAUGAUUAGUCUAAGCUAGUCAUGACAAUCCUGUCCUCCUUUGCUUUCCCAGACUCCCUUGCGGUCAGGGAUGAUCUGGUGACUUUAAAAUAUGUCUGCACAUUUUUCAACACCCUCCUUUUCAGAAGGUGGAAAUUCAUCCCUUCCCCGUGAAUGUAGGCUGGACUUACUGACUCAUUUCAAAGAGUGACUUCCCAGGCUAGGUCAUAAAAACCAUUGUUGCUUCUGCCUUAUUCUCUUACAUUACUCAUUCUGGGGGAAAUUAGCUGCCAUGUUGUGGGGACACUCAACAGCCCUGUGGAGGGGCCCACGUGGGAGGAACUAAGUUUUCUCACCAAUAGGCAGCACCAACAUGCCAGGGAUGUGGGUGGGCCACCUUGGAAGUGGCUCCAGCCCCAAUCAAGCCUUCGGAUGGCUGCAGUGUGGGCCAACAUUUUGACUGUAGCGUGAACCAGAGAGAUCCUUGUAUUAAUCAUAUUUUUUAUUUUCUACAUUUUAUGAUGUUUUGACAUCUUUGGGGAGCCUUGGUGGCUGGGAAGAGACUGCCCUUCCCGGGGUUAGCCAAAUACUAGAGACAGUAAACAGCUUGUUGGUGAGCCUACCUUUUAUAUACAAACCAAACAAUCCUGAGUCCAUACCCCCGACCACCUCCAUAUUUAACUCUCACACACUAAGCCAAUAUUUCCUCUGCCAUAAUCAACCCAGGGCCAGGUACCGGACAACUAGGGAUAGCCUCUAUACCCCAGAGCUAACUGGAAUUAUUCAAACUAGCCAGUCCUAAGCGUUUACCCUGCCCUGACUUGCCUUUCCCACAGAAACCCCAAUAAAGGUCAUGGCCUUGGCCUUCUCUCGCUCCUUUCUGCCUCUGACUAACACUGGUGCUUUCCCCUGUGGCCCUACAUGGCACACUGUGCCUCCUGUUUCUAGAGGAACAUUAAACUUCUUUCAAAGGCAUUGACCCCUCCAUGUCAUCACACAGUCACCUUUAUAAAUUAAGACUCAGGCUAGAUCACCCCUGAGAGAUCCUGAUCCAAAACCACCUAAGCCAUUCCUGGAUACAUGACUCACAGAAACCUUGGGAGAUAGUAAAUACUUAUUGCAGCAACUAAGUUUUGGAUAAUUUGUUUCACAGCAAUGGAUAAUACAGAUGGUCACGUGACCUAGUUCUGGCUAAUGAGAGAUAAAGGAAAGCAGGCUGAGGUAUUUCUAGAAGCUUUCCUGAUAAAAGGAUCAGAAAUGAGAGGAGAGCUCAGGGGUAUCACCCUCUUUGAACAAGGAUGAUGCUUACAGAAGUGACAGUCAUCUUGGGACCAUGAGGCACUGAAAUAAAAGGAUAGAGGAGUGAAAAGUAGGAAAAACUUGUGUCUUUUAUAACAUCACUAAGCUGUGGAACAACUUUGUGACAGCCUGCAUCCAUAUUUGUAGACAUAGAAACAAUAAACGUCCUAUGGUUUAAGCCACUGUAUCCUGCAACUUGCAGCUUAAUGCAUCCCUAACAGAUAUAAUCAGCAUGCACAUUAGCGUCUCACUUAACUGAAGUAACUUAUGCAAUGACUUCACUUAUCUAGAAUCUGAAACGAGGCUAAAAGGGCAACUGAGGACCAAAACCAACACCACAAUAUCCAUACCAAGCACCUUACUGUAAGGCAGUGAGGAAGGCACCCUAUUCCCUCAAACCACUCGAACGUUUCCUCUCGUGAGGAGGAGAGCCUUGACCCAGUGCUGCGACCUCCCCCCGGGUCAGGAAGCUCUGCCUGCACAGCAUUUCCUGCGUGUGGGAAAGAAACAGGAUGAGCAGAUAAAUCCCCCGAGGCUUAUUUUCAAGUGUGUGAGGCCUUCUGUUUGGUGAGUCUGCAGCAGCCCUGGCCAAGAUGACCAACGGUGACGUGUGUUUCUAAAAGUAAUCAAAAAGGAUGACCGUGCACCCAAGAAGCACAAGGCUGGAUGUGGUAGAGGAGAAGAGCACGGGUCAUUGUCCCUGCUCUUUAGGACUGCCUUGGUUUGACUCUUCCCAGAAGCAGACCCUAAGAUAAGUAUUUAAGUGCAAAUAAUGUAUCUGGGAGGCAAUUUGGGGAAUCUCUGCAGGGGAACCGGGAAGUGAAACAGGGACGGGAAGGUGGCCAAUGAGGGAAGCAUUAUCAAGGUGGCUACCUUGGUGGGAACCCAGAGUGCAACCGCGCUAGGGGACUCUCAGAGACAGUGUAGAGCAUGCCUUAGUCAUCCCAACAAAGGGGUGAGGGAGCUGGGGUGUCUAUCCACCAAAUCUCUGUCCUUUGUUGGUUGAGGGCUGUUUCUGGGGGCACCAACUCGGGGCACUUCUGGCUCGGCCGCCUGCAGGCCCAAGUUGCUCCUGAGGCCAGAACAACACCAUUCACAGUAAGCAGGCUUUGGUGGGUAGAGGCGAUUCUCAGCGGGGAUAUGGGCGGAGUCUGCUCUAGGGGCUGACCACUAAUUGAUUUUACAUUCACAGGAAAAGGCAGACACAGGCCCAGGAGACAUGUCUCCCCGUCCCUGGGUGAGGAUGUGGAGGGCGUAGGCAGUGUAAUAGUGGGGGCUUUUCCUGUCCAGGCUCCCAUCUCCUCAUGCUGAGAAAUCACGUUGCCACACUGUUGGUAGAGUCAGCUAGUAUGCGCAAACAGCCAUGUCUUCCUCUUUGACACUCAGCUAGACUACAUUUCCCAGCCUCCCUUGCAGUUAGGAGGCAUCAUAUGAUUAAUUCCAGCCAAUGAAAUAUGAGCAGAAGGGGCGUUUGCCUCUACCAGGCUUGGAUCAGAAGAAACCUCCCACGCACUACCCUUUUUCUCUCCUUCUCUUUCUAAGGUGACCUUGGAGGCCUCAUUGCAAGUGGUGCAACAUCUUCAGUGAUGCUUUGGAGGAAGACGACGUCAUGCAAAUUACUACACAAAUCACUAUUGUUAGUUGGGGUUGGCUCUAAAAAGGAAAAGGUUAAGGUGCCUUGAACACUUUGCCUGGUGAUCCAGGUGAAGGUAAGAGCAUGGACAAGGGCCCUGAAGCAGGAAGGAGGAACCCAAAGCAAACCAGCAUGACUGGAGGUAAUGAGCAAGGUAGAGUGGCAUGAGAGGAAGGAGCAUGAUCUUGAUGCAAGAUGCAUGGGUUUGUGGCAGGAAUUUGAUGGAUAGGGACUGGACACUGCCUUGGCACCCUCCCCCCUCUCCCUAGGGGCAGAGCAUCAAUUUAAGAAACCAGAUUGUAACCAGGAGGGGGUGAACCUAGAAACUCAGAAUUUGGGGGGGUGGGGGUGUGGCUUGGAUAGUCGUGGAGUUCAGUGGGCCCCAUGCCUGGAGUCCCCUGUUCCAGAGUCAGGGCCUCCUGCCCUUGUCUGCGGUGGGGGAGGGGGUUUCUGUCUUCCAGUCACAGCCCAGCCUUGCCUCAAGGGAUCAUUCCCAGGUCACCUGACCCAAAUUUGGUGAGUCGUGAAAUCAGAUAGCCCAGACCCUCUCUUGGGCUGGGUUCCUCUCAUCCUAGACAUAUGACUCUCCAGUAUCAGUACUAUAGACUCUUCUUGUGGGAUAGCCUGGGAACUCACCAUACUGUUUUGUUAAACCUCAAAUAACUGACUUAAUAAUGAACUGUUGGCCAGAGCUGCUUGCCUGACCUGGGGGACUGCCUUUUGCCUGCCCCACCCCCUCCCCCACAGCAGUGUCCUCUCGGGAAGUGCGGCUGACCCAGCUGCAUCCGUGGGAAGGCCUGGCCCCCACACCUCGCCCGCCCUCCCGGCCCUGUUGAGGCCACAGGAAAUGACCCUCUUAGCUGCCACGAGCUGUGAUCCAGAGGACAAUGACAGAGGGACGGAAGCCUGUUGGUCCCAGCUAACAUGUCCCCUUGGGUGGAUGCCAGCUACUUGAAACACAAAACUGAAGCUUUAGUGGAAAAAUAUAUUUUUAAAAAACAAACAAACAAUCCUUUGGGCUUUAGCUAACUUCUGAGGCUCUGAGAGGUUUUGUUUUCUUUAUUUAUGUGUGUGUGUUUGUGUUUCAAACAUAGAUAAGGCUCAGAGAAUCAAAGAAUCUAUGGUUUGGAUGUCAGCUGUCCCACCCAAGCAGCAGGCCCCCCUGUGGCGUCUGUCUUCAUGUGGCUGAGCCCCACCUCUCCAUACUGCUGCUAAUCAUGUCCCUUGGCUCUAAGCCACUGUCCUCACCCCACCUCCACUCACCACCUAGCAGAUGGAGAGCUCUUCUCAAACCCAGAUCGGGUCACCCCUGUUAGGGCUCUGCAGGCCAGCUCUUUCUCAUUCUUCAGGUCUCAGCUCAAAGGCCACCUCCUCCAAGGGGCGUCCUGACCACUCUCUAUGAAACAGCACCUCUCAAUCGUUCCCUCUCAUAGCACUCAUUGCAUUUCACCCCAUCUGGAAUGAUCUGGUUUGUUUACACAUACCUGGCGCAUAGUAGGUACUCAGUGGAUGUUUGUUGACUGACUGAAUGUUUUUCAGUGGUUGUUGCAUUCAAAUUAGAGUUGGCUCAGAGAAUCUAUGUUUCAUUGUAUUUCAACAAGUAUUACUGGCUACAAAGUGUGUGCCAGGGCCAGGAAGCAAAGCAGUCAGGAAUUCCACUCAUUCAUUCCUUCAUUCAUUUGGAAGAUAGAGCCCUAAGUAGAUAGUGAUUCAGUCUGCAGGGUAGGGGUUGGGGGGCAGAGACCCAAGAAAGCUUCAUGGAGGAG
ensembl:lncRNA